GGAAAGAGUACUUCCAAGAAGGCAGUCAUGUCUAUAACAGGCUGCAAGUGACUGAAGCAUAUACCAAAGCUUUGAGGACUUGGGCACAAUGGGUUGAUGCUAAUAUCGACAGUAGUCGUACUAGGGUAUUCUUCAGAGGAUACUCAGCUUCUCACUUCAGGAAAGGGCAAUGGAAUUCAGGGGGGCACUGCGAAAGCGAAAGGCAGCCAAUGACAAAUGACACUGAGCUUGCUCCAUAUCCAUGGAUGAUGAGCAUUCUUGAAUCUGUUAUAUCAGAAAUGAAGACACCAGUGUUUUAUCUCAACAUUACCAAAAUGACCGACUACAGAAAAGAUGGGCAUCCUUCCAUUUACAGGCAACCUGAGAUCAGAAGAACCCAUGGGAUGAUUCAGGACUGCAGCCAUUGGUGCCUCCCUGGUGUU
rnacentral:misc_RNA from 1 species